AAUUGAUCUUGAUACCAUUUUUUAAACAUUUCAUUAUCAUUAACACUUUGCUUUCCGCGUGGUAAGACCACCAAUUUUAAAUGAAUGAAUAAUUUAGUGAAUUAGUUAAAUGUGUUUGAAUAUCGUUCCAAAAUAUUUUAUAACACUUGUUAGUGAUGUUAUCAGAUCCCGAACGUUUGUUAUUUUGCAUUUCUUUAAGAGCUAGUCCACAUUCAUAUUCAGUUAGUAAUCCGUCACAUACUUCUUUUUCCUCUUCAUUUAAAGCAUGAUGUGUUUUUUUACAGAGGGUGUUAUUUUCGACAUUCUUUCGUUUAUAGUGUUUCAAAAAAUAGGCUUGUUCUAUUAUUUGCACAAUAUUCAUAUUCAGUUUGUAAUCCUUCACAUACUUGUUAUUCCUCUUCCUUUAAAGCAUGAUGUGUUAUUUAACAGAGGUUGUUAUUUUCGACAUUAUUUCGUUGAUAGUGUUUCGAAAAAUAGGCUUCUUCUAUUAUUUGACUUUUAUUUGUUAUGUCUUUGCCAUUAACUACUAGGUCUGUGUAUAGUUUUGUGUUUGCUUCUACGUUUUAAAAUGUUUGCACAGUAUUUUGUAUUGUUUUCAUUGUGUUCAACAUGAUGUGCCCGUGCUCGAAGUAUUAUGCCAUUGAGGUGUGUGUGAUAAAUUCCUUCUAUUAUAAUUUUUGUUUGUAAGAAUUGCCUUCUUCAAUGGAGAUGGUAUAAUUUGUGUUUCUUUUAUGCACCUGUUUUUCAAGUGCUUCAAUGACUUAUGGCUUCAUUUUCAAGUUUGUGUGUUUCUUUUUUGUUUUAGCUUACCUGAGCACAACGUGCUCAUGGUGGUCUUUUGUGAUCGCCUUUUGUGCGUCGUCUGUUGUGCAGCGUCAACAUUUAUCUUGUUAACACUUUAGAGGUCACAUUUAUUGUCCAAUCUUCAUGAAACUUGGUCAGAACAUGUGUCCCAUUAAUAUCCUGGACGAGUUCGAAAAUGCUUCUUGUUGUUGAAAAACCUGGGUGCCAGGGGGCGUGGCAGUUUUCAUAAUAUGGCUAUUGUAAAACCUUGUUAAGACUCUAGAAGUUACAUUUUUUGUCCAAUCAUCAUGAAACUUGGUCGGAACAUGUGUCCCAAUAAAAUUUUUGACAAGUUUAAAAAUGGUUCCGGUUGGAAGAAAAACAUGGCCGCCAGGGGGCGGGGCAGUUUUCCUAUUAUGGCUAUAGUAAAACUUGUUCACACUGUAGAAGUCAAAUUUAUUGUCCAAUCUUCAUGAAACUUAGUCAGAACAUUUGUUCUAAUGAUAUCUUGGACGAGUUCGAAUAUAGUUCCGGUUGGUUGAAAAACAUGGCUGCCAGGUGGCGUGGCAGUUUUUCCUUAAAUGGCUACAGUAAAACCUUGUUAACACUCUCGAAGUCACAUUUUUAGUCCGUCAGAACAUGUUUCCCAAUAAAAUCUUAAACGAGUUCGAAAAUGGUUCCAGUUGAAUGAAAAAAAUGGCCGCCAGUGGUCGUGACAGUUUUCCUUAUAUAGCUUUAGUGUAUAGUAAAACCUUUUUAACACUCUAGAAGUCACAUUUAUUGUCCAAUCUUCAUGAAACUUAGUCAGAACAUUUCUUCAGACCAUAUCUCGGAUGAGUUUGAAAAUGGUUCUGGUCUGUUGAAAAACAUGGCUGCCAGGGGGCGGGCCAGUUUUCCUUACAUGGCUAUAGUAAAACCUUGUUAUAAUGCUAGAAGUCACAUUUGUGGUCCAAUGCCUAUAAAACUUGGUCAGAAUAUUUGUACUAAUGAUAUCUGGGCUCAGAUCGAAAAUGGUUGAGGUCCGUUUAAAAAACAUGGCCGCAAGGGGGCGUGGCAUUUUUCCUUAUAUGGCUAUUUCGUAAUGUUAACACUAGAAGUCACACUAAUUAUCCAAUCUUUAUGAAGCUUGAUCAGAACAUUUGUUCUAACAAUAGCUCAGCUGAGUUUGAAAAUGGUCAGGAUUCGUUGAAAAAUAUUGCCGCCGGGGGGGGGGGGCAGUUGUCCUUAUAUGGCUUAAGUGAAAACUUGUUGAAGCUAUAUUAGCCUCAUUUAUUGGCCAUGAAACUUGGUCAAAACAUUAUUUUGUCCCACUGAAAUCUUAGCGAAGAUUGAAACUGGGUCAUAUGAGCUUAAAAACUAGGUCACUAGGUCAAAUAUAAAAAAAACAUGUUGAAAGUCACUUUUUUGGUCUAAUCUUCAUGAAUCAGCUUGCAUUUGUCCAGAAUAGUCUAGUUCCUUUUGCUCUCAGGUGAGCGCCUUAGGGCCUAACGGCCCUCUUGUUUUAAAUGACGUGCAUUUUAUUGUUGUGUUAAGUAUCUUGCCUUUAAUUAUUUCCCAUAAGGCGUUUGGAUUUGCAUCUUUUUUAUCUUAAGCUGUAUUGGUUAUUACCUGUUAUAUUUGUGUUUGAUAUUGUAUAUCUUUUCAGAAGCUAUUAUUAUGCCCCCCUUCGAAGAAGAGGGGAUAUAUUGCUUUGCUCAUGUUGAUCGGUCUGUCGGUCGGUCUGUCCGUCCACCAGGUGGUUGUCAGACGAUAACUCGAGAACCCUUGGGCCUAGGAUCAUGAAACUUCACAGAUACAUUGAUCAUGACUCGCAGAUGACCCCUAUUGAUUUUGAGGUCACUAGGUCAAAGGUCAAGGUCACAGUGACCAGAAAUAGUAAAAUGGUUUUUGAAUGAUAACUCAAGAACGCAUACGCCUAGGAUCAUGAAACUUCAUGGGUAGAUUGAUCAUGACUUGCAGAUGACCCCUAUUGAUUUUGAGGUCACUAGGUCAAAGGUCAAGGUCACGGUGACCCGAAAUAGUAAAAUGGUUUUCGGAUGAUAACUCGAGAACGUUUACGCCUAGGAUCAUGAAACUUCAUAGGUAGAUUAAUCAUGACUUGCAGAUGACCCCUAUUGAUUUUGAGGUCACAAGGUCAAAGGUCAAGGUCACGGUCACCCGAAAUAGUAAAAUGAUUUUCGGAUGAUAACUCAAGAACGCUUUUGCCUAGGAUCAUGACACUUCAUAGGUACAUUAAUCGUGACCCGCAGAUGACCCCUAUUGAUUUUCAGGUCACUAGGUCAAAGGUCAAGGUCACAGUGACAAAAUUCGUAAUAACACAAUGGCUGCCACUACAAAGGAAAGCCCGUAUGGGGGGCAUGCAUGUUUUACAAACAGCCCUUGUUUACUUUUAAAGUACCUUGGGCCUCUUUCAGGUUGUAUUUCAUGCAGUUAAAGUUUAACUAUCGAGUGAUCAGCCUUAAAUCCUGGUUUUAUGUUGCAUGUGUCGAUAAUGUUUCAAAUAGACUCGCAUAUUUAAAAAAAUCUUAUCUCCAAAAUAUUGCUGGUUUUGUAUUUGAGUGCCAGGUGAAUUUUCUUUCAUUAUGAUUAACUGUAUGCCAUAUGUCUAUCAAAUUGUAGUUUUCAAUUAUGUUAUUUAAAAUGUUCCUUUUUUUUGGAGUGAGUAUAAAGAUUUCCACUUCUUUUAUCUCUUAUAAUGGGUUAAGAACAUUAUUGAAAUCCUCUCCAACUAUAAUGUUCUUAUCUUGGUUAUUUAUUAUAACAUUUGGAUUCAUCUAUGUUCGGACCGUAAACGUUCAUUAAUGUUAAUUGUGUUUCGUGUAUUUUUAUAUCUAUACUUGCUUGUCUGCCAAUCAUUAUUUUCGUUCAAGUAAUCCACUGUUAUUCCUGUAUGACUUUUACUCAGACAAGCGAUGCCUUGUUUAUUUGUAUGUUGUCCGCUAAGAUAAAUAUCUCCGUCCCAACCACUUUUCAAUGUUAUUGCUAAGGUAUGUUUUAGGUGACUUUCCUGUAUAAAAAAGACAUAUAUUACUUUUUUUUGUCUUACCAUUUGAAACUUUUAGUGCAUUUGUCUUUGUUAUUUAGCCCUUGUACAUUUACAGUACAUAUGUUAAUACUCACACAAAAGGACGAGAAUUGCAGGAUACCAUUCUUGUUCCAAACAUUUUAAAAUCAUUUUGUAGAGCUAGAUUAUUAGUUAGUAGUUCAUUAUGUCAAGUUAUAUUAAGCUUUGAUGUUAAAAACAAUUACCUUCAAUGUUCUACAGGUUGUUGAUACAUUGUGUUCAUUAAAUUGAUCUCAGCACUAA